rnacentral:rRNA from 1 species
GAUUAGAUACCCUGGUAGUCCACGCCCUAAACGAUGAGUACUAAACGUUGGAUAAAACCAGUGUUGAAGUUAACACAUUAAGUACUCCGCCUGAGUAGUACGUACGCAAGUAUGAAACUUAAAGGAAUUGACGGGACUCCGCACAAGCGGUGGAUCAUGUUGUUUAAUUCGAAGGUACCCGAAAAACCUCACCAGGUCUUGACAUGCUUUUGCAAAGCUGUAGAAAUACAGUGGAGGUUAUCAGAAGCACAGGUGGUGCAUGGUUGUCGUCAGCUCGUGUCGUGAGAUGUUGGGUUAAGUCCCGCAACGAGCGCAACCCUUGUUGUUAAUUGCCAUCAUUAAGUUGGGGACUUUAGCAAGACUGCCAAUGAUAAAUUGGAGGAAGGUGGGGACGACGUCAAAUCAUCAUGCCCCUUAUGACCUGGGCUACAAACGUGAUACAAUGGCUGUUACAAAGGGUAGCUGAAGA